rnacentral:sRNA from 1 species
AUGUACCAUUCGUACACUGCGGUUCCGGGUGCGUCGUCCGCGCCCACCUGACGAUCCUUGCGGCGUUUCGAUAGCC